UACGUAGGGUGCAAGCGUUGUCCGGAAUUAUUGGGCGUAAAGAGCUCGUAGGCGGUUUGUCGCGUCGAAUGUGAAAACCCGGGGCUCAACCCCGGGCCUGCAUUCGAUACGGGCAGACUAGAGUUCGGUAGGGGAGUCUGGAAUUCCUGGUGUAGCGGUGAAAUGCGCAGAUAUCAGGAGGAACACCGGUGGCGAAGGCGGAUCUCUGGGCCGAUACUGACGCUGAGGAGCGAAAGCGUGGGGAGCGAACAGG
rnacentral:rRNA from 1 species